UACAUGCAGUCGAGCGAUGGAUUAAGAGCUUGCUCUUAUGAAGUUAGCGGCGGACGGGUGAGUAACACGUGGGUAACCUGCCCAUAAGACUGGGAUAACUCCGGGAAACCGGGGCUAAUACCGGAUAACAUUUUGAACCGCAUGGUUCGAAAUUGAAAGGCGGCUUCGGCUGUCACUUAUGGAUGGACCCGCGUCGCAUUAGCUAGUUGGUGAGGUAACGGCUCACCAAGGCAACGAUGCGUAGCCGACCUGAGAGGGUGAUCGGCCACACUGGGACUGAGACACGGCCCAGACUCCUACGGGAGGCAGCAGUAGGGAAUCUUCCGCAAUGGACGAAAGUCUGACGGAGCAACGCCGCGUGAGUGAUGAAGGCUUUCGGGUCGUAAAACUCUGUUGUUAGGGAAGAACAAGUGCUAGUUGAAUAAGCUGGCACCUUGACGGUACCUAACCAGAAAGCCACGGCUAACUACGUGCCAGCAGCCGCGGUAAUACGUAGGUGGCAAGCGUUAUCCGGAAUUAUUGGGCGUAAAGCGCGCGCAGGUGGUUUCUUAAGUCUGAUGUGAAAGCCCACGGCUCAACCGUGGAGGGUCAUUGGAAACUGGG
rnacentral:rRNA from 1 species